GGGGAUCCUUGUUGUAUCCAACUACUCAUAUAUAGUGUUGCUCCUACCUUUCAACGUUAUAGAAACCACGUUGCAGUAACUGCCUCCUACUUUUAAUUAUAGUGCUGCUUUUGCUCAUUAUCCACAUUGCGGUAACUGCUGUCUUAUCAUUUAGCUUUGGCGUUGCUUUUGCCCGUCAUCCACAUUGCAAUAAUUGUUGUCCAUCUUUUAACCAUUCACUUACUAC
rnacentral:misc_RNA from 1 species